AUGCCUGGGUUGGUCCGAUGUUGGGACCGCUGGAGCUCCUUGGCACCGCCGCCUGCCUCGUCUCCGUCUCGCAACGACUCCGGCGAGGACAGAGCAGCCCGCCCCAUCUCCGCCGUGCGUCGUCCCGAGGCUGGUCCGGUGGCGCUCCUCCGCGCAGACGCCGGCCUCGUCUUCGCCGCAACUCCGGCUAGACAGAGUCCCGAGCAGGCGGACCGGCAGGCGAGGAAGGCCGCAGCGUCCCCAGCCGAACUUGGAGGGAUGGCGCUGGCUGCGCCUUGGCGCCGACGAGGAGCCUCACGCCGAGCGACACCCCACCCCCUCCCUAUCUGA
rnacentral:rRNA from 1 species